UGGGGAAUAUUGGACAAUGGGCGCAAGCCUGAUCCAGCCAUGCCGCGUGGAUGAAGAAGGCCCUAGGGUUGUAAAAUCCUUUCGCUAGGGCAGAUAAUGACGGUACCUAGACAAGAAGCCCCGGCUAACUCCGUGCCAGCAGCCGCGGUAAUACGGAGGGGGUUAGCGUUGUUCGGAAUUACUGGGCGUAAAGCGCACGUAGGCGGACUAUUAAGUCAGGGGUGAAAUCCCGGGGCUCAACCCCGGAACUGCCUUUGAUACUGGUAGUCUUGAGUUCGAGAGAGGUGAGUGGAAUUCCGAGUGUAGAGGUGAAAUUCGUAGAUAUUCGGAGGAACACCAGUGGCGAAGGCGGCUCACUGGCUCGAUACUGACGCUGAGGUGCGAAAGCGUGGGGAGCAAACAGGAUUAGAUACCCGCGUAGUCC
rnacentral:rRNA from 1 species